CCUACGGGAGGCAGCAGUGGGGAAUAUUGGGCAAUGGGCGCAAGCCUGACCCAGCAACGCCGCGUGAAGGAAGAAGGCCUUCGGGUUGUAAACUUCUUUUCUUAGGGACGAAGAAAAUGACGGUACCCGAGGAAUAAGCCCCGGCUAACUACGUGUCAGCAGCCGCGGUAAUACGUAGGGGGCAAGCGUUAUUCGGAAUGACUGGGGGUAAAGGGGGUGUAGGCGGUGAAGCAAGUUAGAAGGGAAAAACUAAGGGCUUAACCCAGGUCCUGCUUCUAAAACUGCUAUUCUUGAGUGCGGGAGAGGCAAGCGGAAUUCCGGGUGUAGCGGUGAAAUGCGUAGAUAUAAGGAGGAACACCAGUGGCGAAGGCGGAUUGCUGGACAGUAACUGACGCUGAGGCACGAAAGCGUGGGGAGCAAACAGGAUUAGAUACCCGAGUAGUC
rnacentral:rRNA from 1 species